rnacentral:rRNA from 1 species
UACGAGGGGGGCGAGCGUUGUUCGGAAUUAUUGGGCGUAAAGGGUGCGUAGGCGGUUUGGUAAGUCUUAUGUGAAAUCUAUGGGCUCAACUCAUAGACUGCAUGAGAAACUGCCGGGCUUGAGUAUGGGAGAGGUGAGUGGAAUUCCUGGUGUAGCGGUGAAAUGCGUAGAUAUCAGGAGGAAUACCUGUGGCGAAAGCGGCUCACUGGACCAUAACUGACGCUGAUGCACGAAAGCUAGGGGAGCAAACAGG